rnacentral:rRNA from 1 species
UGGGGAAUAUUGCACAAUGGGCGAAAGCCUGAUGCAGCAACGCCGCGUGCGGGAUGACGGCCUUCGGGUUGUAAACCGCUUUCAGCAGGGACGAAGGUUUUCUGACGGUACCUGCAGAAGAAGCACCGGCUAACUACGUGCCAGCAGCCGCGGUGAUACGUAGGGUGCGAGCGUUGUCCGGAAUUAUUGGGCGUAAAGAGCUUGUAGGCGGUCCGUUGCGUCGGAAGUGAAAACUCAGGGCUUAACCCUGAGCCUGCUUUCGAUACGGGCGGACUUGAGGGAUGUAGGGGAGAACGGAAUUCCUGGUGGAGCGGUGGAAUGCGCAGAUAUCAGGAGGAACACCAGUGGCGAAGGCGGUUCUCUGGACAUUUCCUGACGCUGAGAAGCGAAAGCGUGGGGAGCAAACAGGCUUAGAUACCCUGGUAGUCCACGCCGUAAACGGUGGGCACUAGGUGUGGGACCCAUUCCACGGGUUCCGUGCCGUAGCUAACGCAUUAAGUGCCCCGCCUGGGGAGUACGGCCGCAAGGCUAAAACUC